ACUCUCUCGGGUUCCCACCUGGAGAGUUUCCAGUAUUCUACCAGUCUCAACUUUAGGAGGGAAAGUCAAGCAGAGGCCUACCCAUUUCAUUCCUAGCUUGGCCGGUAGCUAGUGAGUGGAAGACAAUCUGCUACAAGU